UACGAACUGCGCGAACGUUAUUCGGAAUCACUGGGCUUACAGGGUGCGUAGGCGGCGGAGAAAGUAGGGUGUGAAAUGCCUUGGCUCAACCAAGGCACAGCGCUCUAAACUACUUCGCUGGAGUGAGUCAGGGGUGCGCGGAACUUCCGGUGGAGCGGUGAAAUGCGUAGAUAUCGGAAGGAACGCCGGUGGCGAAAGCGGUCGACUGGACCUCUUCUGACGCUGAGGCGCGAAAGCCAGGGGAGCAAACGGG
rnacentral:rRNA from 1 species